rnacentral:rRNA from 11 species
AACUCAAAGGAGACUGCCAGUGAUAAACUGGAGGAAGGUGGGGAUGACGUCAAGUCAUCAUGGCCCUUACGACCAGGGCUACACACGUGCUACAAUGGCGCAUACAAAGAGAAGCGACCUCGCGAGAGCAAGCGGACCUCAUAAAGUGCGUCGUAGUCCGGAUUGGAGUCUGCAACUCGACUCCAUGAAGUCGGAAUCGCUAGUAAUCGUGGAUCAGAAUGCCACGGUGAAUACGUUCCCGGGCCUUGUACACACCGCCCGUCACACCAUGGGAGUGGGUUGCAAAAGAAGUAGGUAGCUUAACCUUCGGGAGGGCGCUUACCACUUUGUGAUUCAUGACUGGGGUGAAGUCGUAACAAGGUAACCGUAGGGGAACCUGCGGUUGGA